ACAGUUCUUCCAUCCCUUGCUUCUUUGUAAUGUGUUGCUGCCACUUUCCCCACCAAGAGCCAGUCUAGGGGCGCCUGGGUAGCUCAGCUGGUUGAGCAUCCAACUUUUUAUUUCAGCUCAGGUCAUGAUCUCACGGUUUUGUGGGUUCAAGCCCCGCGUGGGCUCUGCACUGACAGAGCAGAGCCUGCCUGGGAUUCUCUCUCUCUCUCUCCCUCUCUCUCUCUCUGCCCCCCUUGAUUGCACUGUCUCUCUCAAAAUAAAUAAGUAAACUUAAAAAAAAGAGAGAGAGAGAGAGACAGUCUAUUUCUCUACUGCCUAGAGUCUAUGUGGCCGGUGACUUGCCUGGCCCAACACAGAACACGGUGGAAGAAACACUGAGCAACUGCUAAGCUGAUGCCUUGAGAAGUCUUCCAGGUUCCACUACUGGCCUCUCGAACCCCAGCCACCAUGUGAAGAGGCUGGAGCUGGCCUGCUGGAGCCACCACGGGGGAGACAACCAAGGCACUCUGGUAGAUAUAUCCUCCGUCAACUUCGAAACAUGCGAAUGAAGCCACCGGGGACCAGCCAGCCACCAGCCAACCUAUCAGCUGACUGCAAGUACAUCUGAUCUUUCUGACCACCUUGUAGGCCCAAGGGUUGUUUUUUUGUGUGGGCUGUCACCCCGACUUCUGUGCCUGGCUCUCCACUGUCACCUCCCAGCAGCCAACGGAAUCCCAAGCAAGCAAGGUCCAGAGUUGAGAGGGCCACAGCAUCCUCUUUCUCUCUCUCUGCACUCUGGGUUGAAUCAGGAGCCUAAAUCUCUACAUGCCAACGAGGUUGAAGGCGGCCCCCACCUCAGCACCCUAGACCCGGGGACCUACCUGCCAGGUGAA